CCUACGUGUGGCAGCAGUGGGGAAUAUUGGACAAUGGGGGGAACCCUGAUCCAGCGACGCCGCGUGAGUGAAGAAGUAUUUCGGUAUGUAAAGCUCUAUCAGCAGGGAAGAAAGAAAUGACGGUACCUGACUAAGAAGCCCCGGCUAACUACGUGCCAGAAGCCGCGGUAAUACGUAGGGGGCAAGCGUUAUCCGGAUUUACUGGGUGUAAAGGGAGCGCAGACGGCAAUGCAAGCCUGGAGUGAAAGGCGGGGGCCCAACCCCCGGACUGCUCUGGGAACUGUAUAGCUAGAGUGCAGGAGAGGCAAGUGGAAUUCCUAGUGUAGCGGUGAAAUGCGUAGAUAUUAGGAGGAACACCAGUGGCGAAGGCGGCUUGCUGGACUGUAACUGACGUUGAGGCUCGAAAGCGUGGGGAGCAAACAGGAUUAGAUACCCGAGUAGUC
rnacentral:rRNA from 1 species